rnacentral:lncRNA from 1 species
UGGGAAUUGACAACAUUUUGGACUUAAGUUUUUAUUUUUAUAUAACAAAUCUGAUAUGGGUUGUCUGAAAAACAUAGUUUUGGGGUUUUUAAACAUUCUUGCUAUUUUCUUAUAGCCCUUUACAAACUUUGAUUACUGAAAUAAUGGCUAUGACGAUAAAAUAAAAUGUAGAGUUAUUUCCCUUUCUUACCAACUAUUACUGGUUCUCCUAAUAAUAAGGAAUAGGGAAAAGGCAUGAUAAAACCAAAUGACCCAAAAUAGAGUGUUUUGAAUCUGUUUAAUGGUCUCUAAAUAAGGAUUACUUCAGUAUAUAGUUUUCACUGACAAAUCAUUUGUUUUUCUAUCAAAUAACAUAACAGAAUUAUUUAAAACCAUGUUUGUCAUCAAGAUAUCAUUUACUGAUAAGGAAAAAAUGGCAAAUUGGUAGAUUUUUUUUAGACUAUAAACUAACAUAUUUUAAAUUUAGAUAGUGCUGAUCUCUGUAAGUCAUGUCACAUGCUUAAAGAGAAAAUGGCAAAGAUAUAUUUUUCUAGGUUUAAAUUUUACAGAUUGUUUUAUUUGAAUGCCAAAAUUUGUUACAUAAAGUAUCCUUAGGUUAUUUAAUUUUGACAGAGGAUUAGAAUAUAUGUAUAUUUUUAGAUUUGAAAACUAUGUAUA